rnacentral:siRNA from 1 species
AUACAUGCCAUAUUGAACAGUCUA